GGCUGGCUAGCUCAGUUGGUAGAGCAUGAGACUCUUAAUCUUAGAGUUGUGGGUUUGAGCCCCCUGUUGGGCA